rnacentral:misc_RNA from 1 species
AAUAAAUAAAUAAAUAAAAUCCACAAAAAGUACUACCAUCCAAUAAUACUACAUAUCUCAUCAAAGAUUCCAUAAAAGCCCCUAACCUAAACCCACAAAAGAGAACCACUCAUAGUUAUUAAAGGCUCGAGGCGCACCAAGGUGCCUAGGGCCCUAGGGCUGAGGCACAAGCCUAAGUGAGUGAGGUGAAAAAAAAAAUUGAGAGAACUUAAAAUAACAUAAAGUUAAACAUAACAACUAGCAUUCAAGUAGUAAUAAG